AGUGAACGCUGGCGGUAGGCCUAACACAUGCAAGUCGAACGGCAGCACAGUAAGAGCUUGCUCUUACGGGUGGCGAGUGGCGGACGGGUGAGGAAUACAUCGGAAUCUACUUUUUCGUGGGGGAUAACGUAGGGAAACUUACGCUAAUACCGCAUACGACCUACGGGUGAAAGCAGGGGAUCUUCGGACCUUGCGCGAUUGAAUGAGCCGAUGUCGGAUUAGCUAGUUGGCGGGGUAAAGGCCCACCAAGGCGACGAUCCGUAGCUGGUCUGAGAGGAUGAUCAACCACACUGGAACUGAGACACGGUCCAGACUCCUACGGGAGGCAGCAGUGGGGAAUAUUGGACAAUGGGCGCAAGCCUGAUCCAGCCAUACCGCGUGGGUGAAGAAGGCCUUCGGGUUGUAAAGCCCUGUUGUUGGGAAAGAAAAGCAGCAGGUUAAUACCCCGCUGUUCUGACGGUACCCAAAGAAUAAGCACCGGCUAACUUCGUG
rnacentral:rRNA from 1 species